UACGGGGGGGGCAAGCGUUGUUCGGAAUUACUGGGCGUAAAGGGCUCGUAGGCGGCCAACUAAGUCGGACGUGAAAUCCCCAGGCUUAACUUGGGAACUGCGUUCGAGACUGCAUUGCUAGAGUAUGGGAGAGGGAAGUGGAAUUUCCGGUGUAGCGGUGAAAUGCGUAGAUAUCGGAAGGAACAUCAGUGGCGAAAGCGACUUCCUGGACCAAUACUGACGCUCAUGUGCGAAAGCGUGGGGAGCAAACAGG
rnacentral:rRNA from 1 species